ACGCUGGCGGCAGGCCUAACACAUGCAAGUCGAGCGGUAGAGAGAAGCUUGCUUCUCUUGAGAGCGGCGGACGGGUGAGUAAUGCCUAGGAAUCUGCCUGGUAGUGGGGGAUAACGUCCGGAAACGGACGCUAAUACCGCAUACGUCCUACGGGAGAAAGCAGGGGACCUUCGGGCCUUGCGCUAUCAGAUGAGCCUAGGUCGGAUUAGCUAGUUGGUGGGGUAAUGGCUCACCAAGGCGACGAUCCGUAACUGGUCUGAGAGGAUGAUCAGUCACACUGGAACUGAGACACGGUCCAGACCCCUACGGGAGGCAGCAGUGGGGAAUAUUGGACAAUGGGCGAAAGCCUGAUCCAGCCAUGCCGCGUGUGUGAAGAAGGUCUUCGGAUUGUAAAGCACUUUAAGUUGGGAGGAAGGGCAGUUACUUAAUACGUGAUUGUUUUGACGUUACCGACAGAAUAAGCACCGGCUAACUCUGUGCCAGCAGCCGCGGUAAUACAGAGGGUGCAAGCGUUAAUCGGAAUUACUGGGCGUAAAGCGCGCGUAGGUGGUUCGUUAAGUUGGAUGUGAAAUCCCCGGGCUCAACCUGGGAACUGCAUUCAAAACUGACGAGCUAGAGUAUGGUAGAGGGUGGUGGAAUUUCCUGUGUAGCGGUGAAAUGCGUAGAUAUAGGAAGGAACACCAGUGGCGAAGGCGACCACCUGGACUGAUACUGACACUGAGGUGCGAAAGCGUGGGGAGCAAAC
rnacentral:rRNA from 1 species